rnacentral:rRNA from 1 species
GCGCGUAGGCGGAUUAUCAAGUCUCUUGUGAAAUCCAACGGCUUAACCGUUGAACUGCUUGGGAAACUGGUAAUCUAGAGUGGGGGAGAGGCAGAUGGAAUUGGUGGUGUAGGGGUAAAAUCCGUAGAUAUCACCAAGAAUACCCAUUGCGAAGGCGAUCUGCUGGAACUUAACUGACGCUAAGGCGCGAAAGCGUGGGGAGCAAACAGGAUUAGAUACCCUGGUAGUCCACGCCCUAAACGAUGUAUGCUAGUUGUUGGGGUGCUAGUCAUCUCAGUAAUGCAGCUAACGCAUUAAGCAUACCGCCUGGGGAGUACGGUCGCAAGAUUAAAACUCAAAGGAAUAGACGGGGACCCGCACAAGCGGUGGAGCAUGUGGUUUAAUUCGAAGAUACGCGAAGAACCUUACCUGGGCUUGAUAUCCUAAGAACCUUAUAGAGAUAUGAGGGUGCUAGCUUGCUAGAACUUAGAGACAGGUGCUGCACGGCUGUCGUCAGCUCGUGUCGUGAGAUGUUGGGUUAAGUCCCGCAACGAGCGCAACCCACGUAUUUAGUUGCUAACACUUCGGGUGAGCACUCUAAAUAGACUGCCUUCGUAAGGAGGAGGAAGGUGUGGACGACGUCAAGUCAUCAUGGCCCUUAUGCCCAGGGCGACACACGUGCUACAAUGGCAUAUACAAUGAGACGCAAUACCGCGAGGUGGAGCAAAUCUAUAAAAUAUGUCCCAGUUCGGAUUGUUCUCUGCAACUCGAGAGCAUGAAGCCGGAAUCGCUAGUAAUCGUAGAUCAGCCAUGCUACGGUGAAUACGUUCCCGGGUC